AGUAGCUCAGAGGCAGAGCAUUUGACUAGAACCUAUAAGGCCCUGGGUUCAAUCCCCAGUACUG
rnacentral:tRNA from 1 species